UCGAGAAUCUUCGGCAAUGAGCGCAAGCUUGACCGAGCGAUGCCGCGUGCGGGAUGAAGGCCUUCGGGUUGUAAACCGCUGUCGUAGGGGAAUAACUGCCUUGGGGUUCUCCCCAAGGUUUGAAUGAUCCUAGGAGGAAGGACGGGCUAAGUUCGUGCCAGCAGCCGCGGUAAGACGAACCGUCCAAACGUUAUUCGGAAUCACUGGGCUUACAGAGUUCGUAGGCGGUCUGGAAAGUUGGGUGUGAAAUCCCUCGGCUCAACCGAGGAACUGCGCUCGAAACUACCAGACUCGAGGGAGAUAGAGGAAAGCGGAACUGAUGGUGGAGCGGUGAAAUGCGUUGAUAUUAUCAGGAACACCGGUGGCGAAGGCGGCUUUCUGGGUCUUACCUGACGCUGAGGAACGAAAGCUAGGGGAGCGAACG
rnacentral:rRNA from 1 species